UACGUAGGGUGCGAGCGUUGUCCGGAAUUAUUGGGCGUAAAGAGCUCGUAGGCGGUGUGUCACGUCGGCCGUGAAAACCUGGGGCUUAACUCUGGGCGUGCGGUCGAUACGGGCAUCACUAGAGUUCGGCAGGGGAGACUGGAAUUCCUGGUGUAGCGGUGAAAUGCGCAGAUAUCAGGAGGAACACCGGUGGCGAAGGCGGGGUCUCUGGGCCGAUACUGACGCUGGAGGGAGCGGAAAAGCAUGGGUAGCGAAACAGG
rnacentral:rRNA from 1 species